rnacentral:rRNA from 1 species
AGCGAACGCUGGCGGCAGGCUUAACACAUGCAAGUCGAACGCCCCGCAAGGGGAGUGGCAGACGGGUGAGUAACACGUGGGAACGUACCCUUUGGUUCGGAAUAACUUGGGGAAACUCAAGCUAAUACCGGAUAAGCCCUUAUGGGGAAAGGUUUACUGACGAAGGAUCGGCCCGCGUGUGAUUAGCUAGUUGGUGAGGUAAUGGCUCACCAAGGCGACGAUCAGUAGCUGGUCUGAGAGGAUGAUCAGCCAAACUGGGACUGAGACACGGCCCAGACUGCUACGGAAGGCAGCAGUGGGGAAUAUUGGACAAUGGGGGCAACCCUGAUCCAGCCAUGCCGCGUGAGUGAUGAAGGCCUUAGGGUUGUAAAGCGCUUUUACCCGGGACGAUAAUGACUGUACCGGGAGAAUAAGCCCCGGCUAACUUCGUGCCAGCCGCCGCAGUAA